ensembl:rRNA 5S_rRNA 5S ribosomal RNA
GUCUACGGCCACACCACCCUGAACACGCCCGAUCUUGUCUGUUCUCAGAAGUUAAGCAGGGUCAGGCCUGGUUAGUACUUGGAUGGGAGAGAAGAGAAAUGCAUCCUGCUCAGGGCUUCUUGCUUUUGUGGAUC